rnacentral:lncRNA from 1 species
GAAAACACUUCAUCUUCUAUAGAUUCUUUCCCAAGAAUCUAAAUCUUGAGAUUCAAGUUGGAUUAAUUAGAGAAGAACAUGGAUGUAAGUCUGGAAUUUAAGAGUGGUCAUGGGAGGACCAAGAAGCCAAUAAAGGUGUAUCAAAGUGGAACGGGGUGAAGAACAAGAAAGCCCAGAAGAAUACGAAAUCCAUGCGAAUAGUGACCUCUAUUUUUUCCUACCAUUCAAGCACGAAAGCCAGUUGUGUGGUGGGCGUGGUCUGCAUGGAGAAGGAUGUUUGGAGAAAAGUUUGUGAGAUGGGUGGUGGAUAUGAUGAAGACAAUGUCGGUUAGUAAUCAGUAUGCUUAAUGAUGAUUAGGGGGUGCUCUAAAGGUACAGUUGUAAUCACUGACUUUUGGAAGGGGUACUUUUAGGAAGCAACAUCUUUAUUUUGGCUAUGGGGGAUAUGCUCUAAAGGUGCUUGAUAUUUUGUAGCAAAGGGAAUAUGUUAACAGUUGUAAACUGUAAUCACUGCAACAUCUUUAUUUUGGCUAUGGGGGAUAUGCUCCAAAGGUGUUUGAUAUUUUGUAGCAAAGGAAUAUGUUAGUUGUUGUAAUCACUGUAACAUCUUUAAUUUAGGCUAGUAACAUCCUUAUUUUGGCUAUGAAAUCUUCUAUAAUGUGUGAUAAGGUGUUUGAUAUUUUGUAGCAAAG